rnacentral:rRNA from 1 species
CAAUAGCGUAUAUUAAAGUUGUUGCAGUUAAAACGCUCGUAGUUGAACAUCUGCCCUUUUCCGGUUAGGUCCGCUCUGCGUGCACCUUCCGAAAUCGGCAUCCGUCUGCGUUGCUUCGCAUUGCAGACCGUUCACUUUGAGGAAACUAGAGUGUUCAAAGCAGGCUUACGCCUUGAAUACUUCAGCAUGGAAUGAUUGAUAGGACUUCUAUCCUAUCUUGGUUCUAGGGACAGAAGUAAUGGUAAACAGGGUUGGUUGGGGGCAUUCGUACUGAACAGUCAGAGGUGAAAUUCUUAGAUUUGUUCAAGACGAACAACUGCGAAAGCAUUUGCCAAGGACGACCCCAUUAA